AUUCAGCUGACGAGUCCCAAAUAGGACGAAACGCACAUCAAACUGGAU
rnacentral:hammerhead_ribozyme from 1 species